rnacentral:rRNA from 1 species
CUCAGUUCGGACUGUAGGCUGCAACUCGCCUACACGAAGUUGGAAUUGCUAGUAAUCGUGGAUCAGCAUGCCACGGUGAAUACGUUCCCGGGUCUUGUACACACCGCCCGUCACACCAUGGGAGCUGGUAACACCCGAAGUCAGUAGUCUAACCGCAAGGAGGACGCUGCCGAAGGUGGGAUUAGCGACUGGGGUGAAGUCGUAACAAGGUAAC